AAUCUACUCCUUUCGUCCGAAAAUACUUGUCAUAAGAAUGGAUGUAUCUAGAUGUAUUUCAGUUCUAGAUACAUCUAUUUUUAUCAAUUUGUGCGACAACUAAUUCCAUACAGAGGGAGUAGUUU
rfam:Hordeum vulgare subsp. vulgare, WGS project CAJW01000000 data, contig: morex_contig_1568587